UACGUAGGGGGCAAGCGUUGUCCGGAAUCAUUGGGCGUAAAGAGCGCGUAGGCGGCCCUGUAAGUCCGCUGUGAAAGUCAAGGGCUCAACCCUUGAAUGCCGGUGGAUACUGCAGGGCUAGAGUCCGGAAGAGGCGAGUGGAAUUCCUGGUGUAGCGGUGAAAUGCGCAGAUAUCAGGAGGAACACCGAUGGCGAAGGCAGCUCGCUGGGACGGUGACUGACGCUGAGGCGCGAAAGCGUGGGGAGCGAACAGG
rnacentral:rRNA from 1 species